rnacentral:tRNA from 1 species
ACUCUCUUAUUAUAAUUAAUAUAACUGACUUCCAAUCAGUAGAUUCUGGAACUAACGGAAGAGAGUA